rnacentral:rRNA from 1 species
CCUACGGGAGGCAGCAGUGGGGAAUAUUGGACAAUGGGCGCAAGCCUGAUCCAGCAAUGCCGCGUGAGUGAUGAAGGCCUUAGGGUCGUAAAGCUCUUUUACCAGGGAUGAUAAUGACAGUACCUGGAGAAUAAGCUCCGGCUAACUCCGUGCCAGCAGCCGCGGUAAUACGGAGGGAGCUAGCGUUGUUCGGAAUUACUGGGCGUAAAGCGUACGUAGGCGGUUAUUCAAGUCAGAGGUGAAAGCCCGGGGCUCAACCCCGGAACGGCCUUUGAAACUAGGUAGCUAGAAUCUUGGAGAGGUCAGUGGAAUUCCGAGUGUAGAGGUGAAAUUCGUAGAUAUUCGGAAGAACACCAGUGGCGAAGGCGACUGACUGGACAAGUAUUGACGCUGAGGUACGAAAGCGUGGGGAGCAAACAGGAUUAGAUACCCUGGUAGUCCACGCCGUAAACGAUGAUAACUAGCUGUUCGGGCACUUGGUGCUUGAGUGGCGCNGCUACGCAUUAAGUUAUCCGUCCGUCGGGUAGGUACGGUCGCGAAGAAUUAAACUAACAAAGAAGUUAGUACGGCGUGAGACGUGCCGACGGACGACGACGAGGGAGUAGG